rnacentral:rRNA from 1 species
AUAGCUGAUUGCACCAACAAAUGGUUGAUGCAAUAUUGACUCUGUCAAAUAAAAUUCUAGGUAGAAUUAUGAUAAUGACAUUGUCUGCCUAUAUGUCUUGACCAAAUUACGUGCCAGCAGUCGCGGUAAUACGUAGAAGACUAGUGUUAUUCAUCUUUAAUAGGUUUAAAGGGUACCUAGACGGUAAAUCAAGCCUUCAUAGGGACUAAUUUACUAGAGUUACUUACGAGGGGGUAUUAAAGUACUGCAGGUGUAGAGAUGAAAUUCUGUCAUACCUCUUUUCAAAAGAAAAAUUAUGGCACAGGUAUAGGUGAAAGCAUCCCCUUAUGUGAUAACUGACGUUGAAGGACGAAGGCUUUGUGUCGCGAACAGGAUUAGAUACCCCAGUAGUCAAAGCAGAAAAUGAUGAAUGUCAUAGAUUAGAUAUAUAAUUUAUUCUAUAAAUGAAAAUGUAAGCAUUCCACCUCAAGAGUAAUUUGGCAACAUUGGAACUGAAAUCAUUAGACCGUUUCUGAAACCAGUAGUGAAGUAUGUUGUUUAAUUUGAUGAUCCGCAAAAAACCUUACCACAAUUUGAAUAUUUAUAUCUAUCUUUUUUUUCGUAAACAAAUAAAAAGGUAAUAUAUUUACAAGCGUUGCACGGCUGUCUUCAGUUAAUGUCGCGAGACUUUGGUUAGUUCCAUUUAAUUAACGUAAACCCUUACUUUAUUUUUAUAUGAAGUAGUUCCCCACUAUAUUGGAUAUGAUAACA